ACUCACAAGUUAGCUCAGUUGGUUAGAGCAUGGUGCUGAUAACGCCAAGGUUGCAAGUUGUUCAGAUGUUCUAGUGUGUAUGUGUGUG